UACGAAGGGGGCUAGCGUUGCUCGGAAUUACUGGGCGUAAAGGGCGCGUAGGCGGACAGUUUAGUCAGAUGUGAAAGCCCAGGGCUCAACCUUGGAAAUGCCUUUGAUACUGGCUGUCUUGAGUUCGGGAGAGGUGAGUGGAAUGCCGAGUGUAGAGGUGAAAUUCGUAGAUAUUCGGCGGAACACCAGUGGCGAAGGCGACUCACUGGCCCGAUACUGACGCUGAGGCGCGAAAGCGUGGGGAGCAAACAGG
rnacentral:rRNA from 1 species